GAUGCGUAUAAAUAGAAGAGCUCCCUCUAAGAGCCGACACACACAACUCAUCAAGAUAUUCACCCCAUCUAGAAUAUCGAGCCAAGGUAGUCGAUUAGAAGAACUCUUUUUCUCAAGCGUCCAUUCAAAUGGCAGAACAUGCACCAAGUCAGACGGAAAAUUGACUUCACUAGAUCAGUACAUUUCAAGGAUGAAAUCUGGCCAGAAGGGCAUAUUUUAUAUUACUCUCUGGCAAAAACUUAAAAGAGACGAGAAGUAGCAAAGCUUGUUGUUCUAACAAAGUUUGUUUGUUAAGGAGCUGGUGUCCAACAUUUCACCAACCAAAUUACUAGAUGGAUUCAAA